rnacentral:rRNA from 1 species
GAAACCAACAGGGAUUGCCUUAGUAACGGCGAGUGAAGCGGCAAAAGCUCAAAUUUGAAAUCUGGCACCUUCGGUGUCCGAGUUGUAAUUUGAAGAAGGUAACUUUGGAGUUGGCUCUUGUCUAUGUUCCUUGGAACAGGACGUCACAGAGGGUGAGAAUCCCGUGCGAUGAGAUGCCCAAUUCUAUGUAAAGUGCUUUCGAAGAGUCGAGUUGUUUGGGAAUGCAGCUCUAAGUGGGUGGUAAAUUCCAUCUAAAGCUAAAUAUUGGCGAGAGACCGAUAGCGAACAAGUACAGUGAUGGAAAGAUGAAAAGAACUUUGAAAAGAGAGUGAAAAAGUACGUGAAAUUGUUGAAAGGGAAGGGCUUGAGAUCAGACUUGGUAUUUUGCGAUCCUUUCCUUCUUGGUUGGGUUCCUCGCAGCUUACUGGGCCAGCAUCGGUUUGGAUGGUAGGAUAAUGACUAAGGAAUGUGGCUCUACUUCGGUGGAGUGUUAUAGCCUUGGUUGAUACUGCC